rnacentral:misc_RNA from 1 species
AAAUAAUAUUGCUGCUGUUGGUGAACAUGAUGCCAAGAGAGUGAUGUUGGAGCAAAGUGUUGAAGGAAUAUCAGAAACUGAUAUUGAUUCUGAUAGAAUUGAGUCACGUUCAUUAUUUGUCAAGAACCUGAAUUUCAAGACAUCUGAUGAAAGUUUGAAAAAGCACUUUGGUGAACACAUGAAGGAGGGGAAGAUCUUAAGUGUCAGGAUAAAGAAGCAUUUAAAAAAUGGGAAGAAUGUUUCAAUGGGUUUUGGUUUCAUAGAGUUCGAUACUGUGGAGACGGCAACAAAUGUUAGUACAGAUUUACAGGGAACUGUUUUGGAUGGGCAUGCUCUUAUCUUGCAAUUGUGCCAUGCCAAGAAGGAUGAACAAGUGGGGAAAAAAGUUGACAAAGAUAGGAGUUCUACAAAAUUACUUGUGAGAAAUGUAGCUUUUGAGGCAACCGAGAAAGAUCUUAGACAGCUAUUUAGCCCAUUUGGCCAGAUCAAGAGCUUAAGGUUGCCAAUGAAAUUCGGAAACCACAGAGGCUUUGCAUUCGUGGAGUAUGUUACAAAGCAAGAGGCACAGAAUGCACUUCAAGCACUUUCAAGCACCCAUCUGUAUGGUCGACAUUUGGUUCUGGAGAGAGCAAAGGAAGGAGAGAGCUUGGAAGAACUAAGGGCCCGAACAGCGGCUCAAUUUAGCGAAGAGCAAAAUGUUUUGCAUAAUCCUACAAAGUUAUCAAAGAAAAGGAAGCAUAUGGCGGUCUUGGAUGAAGGAACAAUGAAAUUUCAAAGAAUAGCCGAUUAAUGCUUUUACCAAUAUUCUCAUGUAUUAUGGAAGACAUGAAUAAGGAUUUGCUAUGUUUAUAGGUUAUAGAUUAAUUUCACAUUAUGCUGGCCCCGAUUUUGCUUCUUAGAAGCUGGUUCCUGUCUACUGCUAUGUUGUUCAAAUG